GAUGAACGCUGGCGGCGCGCCUAACACAUGCAAGUCGAACGGAGUUAUCUUAUUAGAUCCCUUCGGGGUGAAGAUUUUUUAACUUAGUGGCGAACGGGUGAGUAACGCGUGAGUAACCUGCCUUCAAGAGGGGGACAACAGUUGGAAACGACUGCUAAUACCGCAUAAUAUAUCGAGAUCGCAUGAUAUUGAUAUCAAAGGAGCAAUCCGCUUGAAGAUGGACUCGCGUCUGAUUAGAUAGUUGGUGAGGUAACGGCUCACCAAGUCUACGAUCAGUAGCCGGACUGAGAGGUCGAUCGGCCACAUUGGGACUGAGACACGGCCCAGACUCCUACGGGAGCAGCAGUGGGGAUAUUGGUCAAUGGGGGAAACCCUGAACCAGCGACGCCGCGU
rnacentral:rRNA from 1 species